rnacentral:rRNA from 1 species
ACGUAGGGGGCAAGCGUUAUCCGGAUUUACUGGGUGUAAAGGGAGCGUAGACGGCGAUGCAAGUCUGAAGUGAAAGCCCGGGGCUCAACCCCGGGACUGCUUUGGAAACUGCCUUGCUAGAGUGCUGGAGAGGUAAGUGGAAUUCCUAGUGUAGCGGUGAAAUGCGUAGAUAUUAGGAGGAACACCAGUGGCGAAGGCGGCUUACUGGACAGUAACUGACGUUGAGGCUCGAAAGCGUGGGGAGCAAACAG